GGGUGCGAGGGACAUCUGGCUGCAAUGUUUGUGAUCCCAUUUAUCGUCAGGGUUGAUCCGGCUGAUCUGGCUAGCUAGGCGGGUGUCCCUUUCCUCCCUCGUCACUCCAUGUGGGUCCCUCCUAAAGCUGCUUGCUCAGAUGAAGAGGAGAACCUGCUCUAACAGAGGACCGUUCUUCAGUCAAGGGUAUCCUAGUAGCUGCACUCUGCACUCUCUGCUAGAACCACCAAACAAGCUUUCAAGCAAUGAUGAAAAAAGCAUUCCUUUUAUUUCAGCAGAAAGACUGU
rfam:Otolemur garnettii contig178102, whole genome shotgun sequence.